GCUCCGGUGGCCUAGUGGUUAGAGCAUCCACUUUGGAUGCGGAAGAUUGUGGGUUUGAUUUCCAGCCGAGUCA